rnacentral:rRNA from 1 species
CCUACGGGUGGCAGCAGUGGGGAAUAUUGGACAAUGGGGGGAACCCUGAUCCAGCGACGCCGCGUGAGUGAAGAAGUAUUUCGGUAUGUAAAGCUCUAUCAGCAGGGAAGAAAGAAAUGACGGUACCUGACUACGAAGCCCCCGCUAACUACGUGCCAGCAGCGGCGGUAAUACGUAGGGGGCAAGCGUUAUCCGGAUUUACUGGGUGUAAAGGGAGCGUAGACGGCGGGGCAAGUCUGAAGUGAAAGGCGGGGGCCCAACCCCCGGACUGCUUUGGAAACUGUAUGGCUGGAGUGCGGGAGAGGUAAGUGGAAUGUCUGGUGUAGCGGUGAAAUGCGUAGAUAUUAGGAGGAACACCAGUGGCGAAGGCAGCUUACGGGACUGUAACUGACGUUGAGGCUCGAAAGCGUGGGGAGCAAACAGGAUUAGAUACCCUGGUAGUC